rnacentral:lncRNA from 1 species
CAGAGCCCGCCUCCGCGACUGCAGAGAGACCGUUCCAGGAGGGCGGAGCCUCGCGAUGCCGAGCCCGCCAAAAGAGGAGAGUGCCACGCCCGGGGAAAGCGUCGACGCCAUCGCUUCAGAGUGAGGGCUUGGGCUUGGCAGCAUUCUGCGGAUUCCUGGGCCCUGCCCUCUCCGCACUGCGUUUGACGGAGGCAAGCCCAGAGGACGUCUUUCGGACAGUACUCUUGCAAGCUACACUUCAGUGGAAUGUCUACUUUGUCUAUCAGUGCCCUCGCUACAGUAAAAAGAAGUUCACUGUGACCACAGAAUCAACUGACGAGGACUCACGGGAGUCUCAGAGAUCAAGGGGCCUGUAGGGGUCUGACCUAGGUUCUAUGCUGACAGACCUUGACUCACUGGCCACCGUGGCCAGCGGCUCUACAGAGAACAGUUGAAGCUUUCUCCAUCAUCCAGUGUCCUGUCUCAGCUUUCCACUGUGUCUGCCUGGAGCAGGUCUUCCAGCGUGAGGUCCUUCACAGGGAUGGGCUGUCGGUACAACUGAUAGCAGAGCUGCUCGUUGUGAGUGACAGCUCGGGUGAUCACCAGCACUUCUUGGAACAGGAAAACAUGGAGUUUCUAGAAGAAAAGAGCCCACAGGAUUGUCCUGAGCAACCAUCUAAGUGCUCUCCAUGACAACACAGGACCCUUGAGCUGUCAAUCAGAGAAUCUUUCUGGCCUUCUUCCAGAUAAGGUCUCACUCUGGAGCGUCUAAUCUGGAAUUAAAGCAAACAGAUGUGCCAUGGUCAGAAGAUAUCAUUUUGCUGCCGGUUAACCCAUCAUCUGACUCUUCGAUCCUUUCUUUUCCUUAUAUGAUGUUCACUGACCGUCGAGUAGGUGAAAUAGACUGGAAUCUCUGGAAACAAGGAUGCUCUUCAAGCUUCCAGUCCCCAUUUUAGGCCUGGAGGGUCCAGACAGCAACUGACUGGCAUGGUCACACUUCCUCUGGAUAUGUACAGGACACAACUGCUAAAGCCUUUCCCAGACCAAACUAACCCCAUAACACUAGAGACAAAAGUAUAUUUCAGGAAAAAAAGUGAGGCUAAAUCUUCAAGCUUGAGGCUGAAACACUGUCACAAUCUGCACACAUUGCUUAAAGAGGCACCACCAUUCUACAUUACUGUGUCAUAAAAAACAGAGCAGGAGCCCUGCUAACUCUGAAGGAAGUCCACAGUCUGAGGAAGUUUAAAAACACAUUGAACCACUUCUGACUCCAGUUGACCCACUCUCUUUAGAGGAAGGUCUUUGUGGGUUGAAGAAGUUUAGAGCAAUACCAUGACUUAGAACGCAAAGUCAAAAGUUCGUGAUGAAUGAUCUCUCCUGAAAUAUUAAAGCGUGUUUCAUCUAAAUUAUUCAGCUGAGAACAUUACUUGUCCCGCAGAUAUUCUUGAGAUAUUUCCGCCUUGGUACUAAAAUUGACUUCUGAACUAAAGCCAAGUCAUAGAACCCUUCGAAGGUUCCAGAUCUUGGCAGUAACUGAGAGGCAUCAGGUCAGACACCAAUGUUAAGAAUUUUGGGCACAUUCAUGUAAUGUCAGUGAGAACCAGAAGGUUUUAGGAAGGUGAGGAACAAGUUUACCUGGAAAGAGAAUACCAGUAUAUUAAUAAUACCUAAAACCCCUCUCUAUCAGUACACUCCCUGCCCAUUGUCCUGGAAUACUAGCCCCAUCAGAGGGAUGGAGAGACCUAAUUCUGCCUAGAAGAAGUCAUUAAAGUUGUCUGCUUUCAUUACCUGCUUCAUAACAAAUAAAAAUAUCUAGAAUUGUGUAGGGCUGUGAAAGGCAGCCUGAUUCCUGGUUGACUAAGGCUAGAAACACUGGUAACCCUAAAGGGGUGGUAGAUAUUUCCCUGUUCCCAGAGAAUCAGGCUCCUGGCACAAGGCGGCAGGCCUCCACAGAUUUGUGACCAUCAGUCACAUAAGGGCAAAGCCCCAAACCCCUCUACAGGUCACAUAGCCUCAAGACAGAUCUCCAUUUUAAUGAGGUACUUAGAGGCUUAGCCAAUAAACUCUCCUUCCUAGACACUUCUCCCUGCAAAAGGUAUUUAGCCUCAGGCCUGCCCUGAGAAGUAGGGUACAGUUUUACUCAUCCACUUUCU